UACCACCAAUGUCUGCAAAACUAUUCUGUAA
rnacentral:piRNA from 1 species